rnacentral:rRNA from 1 species
AGGGUUCGAUUAUGGCUCAGAUUGAACGCUGGCGGCGUGCCUAACACAUGCAAGUCGGACGGAAAUUAUGACUUCGGUUUUAAUUUCAGUGGCGCACGGGUGAGUAACGCGUGGGUGAUCUACCUGCGGAUGUGGGAUAACAGUUGGAAACGAUUGCUAAUACCGCAUACGCUCUUUUUUCGUCUUAAGGGGAAAGUCGGCCUCUGAAUAUGCUGACGUCCGCAGAUGAGCCCGCGUUUCAUUAGGUAGUUGGUAGGGUAAUGGCCUACCAAGCCUGCGAUGAAUAGCCGACCUGAGAGGGUAAUCGGCCACACUGGGACUGGAACACGGCCCAG